GCAUAGGCAAACUCCGGCCCUCCAGCUGUUUGGGACUACAAUUCCCAUCAUCCCUGAACACUGGUCCUGUUAGCUAGGGCUGAUGGGAAUUGUAGUCCCAAACAUCUGGAGGGCUGGAGUUUGCCUAUGC
rnacentral:miRNA from 1 species